UUUCUUUAUUUUUUCAUAUCGUAUUAAAAACCAUCUGCAAUUUGGGAAAUCAUUUAUUUGAUACAGAUCCUUUUGGAUACUGGCUUUGUAUAAACCAGUGACUUGGCUAAUAUAUAUUUUUCUUGACUCUGAUCAUACUUUAAACUCAUCAGUCAUCUCGAAUUUGGAGAAACAAGUGAGAUGAUUAACAGUCGAUACAGUUUCUUUAGCUUGUUGCAAAGUGCAAACUAUUAUAAUUUGGUCGAAUUGAAUCUACGAGUAGUCCUGAUCCCAAUAGAUGACUGCAUCAUGUAGACUCAAAUUUAUAUUAGCUUUUUUUUUUGUUAGAUCGUUUGUUUUUUUUAGUUUAUCUCAUAUCCUCUCUUUUAUGUCAGUGAAAAAUGUUCGAGCUUCCAAGAAAAUAUCUGCUAAUCAUGUCGCUAUUGAUAGACUGACUUCUACCAUUGAAGAUGCUUAUGAUGUUAAUAAGAUUCUCUAACCACGCCUUUACAGCUCGUAAGAUUUGUUUUUGCUGCUUUCGUUAUUCAUUUUUUUCUUUUAUUGGCAGGAAAUCAUAGAGUUGAGAGCAUCUAUCGAAGAGAUGACUGAAACUAUGAAAAAACAACAGGAGAUAUUAUUGACGAUGGCUGGAACUAUGAAAAACCUACCGGUGAAAGAAACCCCAAAAGAAAAGUCUACAAUCAAAAGAGAGUGUGCUUUGGCACGGGAUUAUCAACCAAAUAAUAAGCAUACCAUUCCGUCCAUGCGGGUGUGUUCAUAUUGUAGACGUAAUGUGCUCAAACCCAUUAACAAGAACUUUAAUGGAUAUUUCUGUGGCGUCAGACUUCAGGAGCUCCCACUUAGUAGGAGGAGAUAACGGCUUAUAAUAAAUCAGCUUUUCGCUUGUACGUUGAAAUUUUCUCUUAAUAUGCAGGCUUUGUUUAACUUAUACCGUUGACAUGGAUGGCCUACCAAAGUCCAAUUUUUUUUUCUUCCUUAUAUUUUAUCUUUUUUUUUGUCUUCUUUAUAUUUUAUCUUCUUUUUUUUUAGCAAGAAUACCAGUAUUCUAUGAGUUUUGAUU